GCCACUGGGCCUGGGUCCUAGGUGCCUCCAUGCCUCUGAGGAUGGAGACACCCCUAGCCCUGCUGGCCUCCGGGGCAGUGGCAACCUGCUUUCUCUGGACGGGGACAGGAGGCCUGGGGCCCUGAGGGCAGCCCCCUCCUGGGAAGCCAGGCCCGACUGCCCCCAGGGAAAGACAGGAAGUGUGGUUUCAGACCCCUGGCCCUGCCCCACAGGUGGCUGUGAGUGUGAGGGGCAGGACAGCCAGAGUGGCUGUAACUGGGGGUGAGAGGAAGCGGUGCAGGUUAAGGGCACGUGGACCCUGAACUGCCCAUGGACAGCCUUCUGUGGAGCAAGGAUGGGAACCCGGGUGUCCUGGCUCCCAGGCCAGGCUUGGGUCCUCAGGCACUCCUAGGUUGGUGGAUUUUCUCCGACAGACCAGGGGGCUGCAUCGGACCCUGCGGCCCCCAGAGAGGGCUUCCCUGGUGCCAUUGGGCGGGUGAGUAGGGCGCGGCUGGGAGAGCUGGCUCCACCCCCUCCACCCACAGCCCCACCGGGUUCUUUGUCCAACCCACGCUGCUGGAGGGAGAGGAGAAAGCACCUUAUAAGCAGCCCCUCCACCAGGACACUGACAAGCGCGUUUAACAGAGAAGUUUGACAGCAUGCCCCCCUGCGUGGAAUGACCUUCAGAGGCUUGCCCACAGCCCCCGCUUCAGUGCAGAAAGGACCCCUCCUGCGGGGCUGGCCCCGUGGCCGAGUGGUUAAGUUCGCGCGCUCUGCUGCAGGCGGCCCAGUGUUUCGUUGGUUCGAAUCCUGGGCGCGGACAUGGCACUGCUCAUCAGACCACGCUGAGGCAGCGUCCCACAUGCCACAACUAGAAGAACCCACAACAAAGAAUACACAACUAUGUACCGGGGGGCUUUGGGGAGAAAAAUGAAAAAAUAAAAUCUUUAAAAAAAAAAAAAAAAAAAGAAA
rnacentral:lncRNA from 1 species